rnacentral:rRNA from 1 species
AUUGAACGCUGGCGGCAGGCCUAACACAUGCAAGUCGAGCGGAUGAAGGGAGCUUGCUCCUGGAUUCAGCGGCGGACGGGUGAGUAAUGCCUAGGAAUCUGCCUGGUAGUGGGGGAUAACGUCCGGAAACGGGCGCUAAUACCGCAUACGUCCUGAGGGAGAAAGUGGGGGAUCUUCGGACCUCACGCUAUCAGAUGAGCCUAGGUCGGAUUAGCUAGUUGGUGGGGUAAAGGCCUACCAAGGCGACGAUCCGUAACUGGUCUGAGAGGAUGAUCAGUCACACUGGAACUGAGACACGGUCCAGACUCCUAAGGGAGGCAGCAGUGGGGAAUAUUGGACAAUGGGCGGAAGGCUGAUCCAGCCAUGCCGCGUGUGUGAAGAAGGUCUUCGGAUUGUAAAGCACUUUAAGUUGGGAGGAAGGGCAGUAAGUUAAUACCUUGCUGUUUUGACGGUACCAACAGAAUAAGCACCGGCUAACUUCGUG